rnacentral:rRNA from 1 species
GACGAACGCUGGCGGCGUGCUUAACACAUGCAAGUCGAACGAAGAGCGACGGAAGCUUGCUUCUAUCAAUCUUAGUGGCGAACGGGUGAGUAACGCGUAAUCAACCUGCCCUUCAGAGGGGGACAACAGUUGGAAACGACUGCUAAUACCGCAUACGAUCUAAUCUCGGCAUCGAGGAUGGAUGAAAGGUGGCCUCUACAUGUAAGCUAUCACUGAAGGAGGGGAUUGCGUCUGAUUAGCUAGUUGGAGGGGUAACGGCCCACCAAGGCGAUGAUCAGUAGCCGGUCUGAGAGGAUGCACGGCCACAUUGGGACUGAGACACGGCCCAGACUCCUACGGGAGGCAGCAGUGGGGAAUCUUCCGCAAUGGACGAAAGUCUGACGAAGCAACGCCGCGUGAGUGAUGACGGCCUUCGGGUUGUAAAGGUCUGUUAAUCGGGACGAAAGGCCUUCUUGCGAAUAGUGAGAAGGAUUGACGGUACCGGAAUAGAAAGCCACGGCUAACUACGUG